GACAAAAUUUGAAAGAUACAUAGAGAAGAACAUACGAUAAAUCGAAUUUCUGCAUUAAGCAAUACUUAGUUAAAACAUAGAAAAAGGUACUUAAGGUGAUGAAUAGAAGAAAAGAUUGGAAAAGGAAGAAAACCAUUAUCAAGAAGAGGCCAAUAUAUUCUAGCUUUUGUUUUUGAGAGACGUUUAGUUGGGAAACGAAACAAUAUAAGAAAUUUGACAAUGUUGUCGCUGAGAUAUCCUAAUGUUGUAAGGUUAUCCUGAUAUUUGGAAUGAGAAAAAAUAGAAAGAAGCUCGCUUGUUAGGACGACAAUUUCAAAGAGGUAAAUGUUUUGUGAGUAAGGCUAAGAAUGUUCUGAUUAUGUUCAGAUGAAAUAAGCUGUUUCCAGGCACCCAGGAUUUGUUUACAAAUUAUAACAAAUGAUUGUCUUUGACAGGAGCUCAAUUGAAGAAGACUUGUCACAUGAAUAAUGUGAACUAAAUAAAUUACUGAUAGGCUAAAUUAUACAUAUAAUUAUUAAGUUUUAAUAAAUAUCUGUUUAUAUUUUUUCGCAAAUGA